UUUGAGUACUGUCCGACCCACUUGGUCAA
rnacentral:sRNA from 1 species